GCUGGGCAUGGUGGUGCACACCUAUAAUUCCAGCAGCUCGGGAGGCUGAGGCAGGAGGAUCAUGAGUUCAAAGCCAGCCUCAGCCAAAGCAAGGCCCUAAGCAACUCAGUGAGACCCUGUCUCUA
rnacentral:sRNA from 1 species